CAUGAGCAGGGGAGGGGCAGAGAGACAGAGGGAGACACAGAAUCUGAAGCAGGCUCAGAACCUGACCCAGAACUUGAACCCAAAGCCCAUGACAUCAUGACCUGAGCUGAAGUUGGACGCUUAACCAGGGACCUCAGCAGCCCAGAUCCAAUGGCCUCCUUCCCUCUGCAGGGGCUCAGACCCUCUGGCCUGACCUCUCUCCCUGGAGCAGCCUAAGACGACAGGACCCAUUCCUCCUUCUUGCCCCUGAUGUUGUGCCUGAAGAGACCUGCCCUUGGAAUCAGAAUCACUACUCCUCUCUUAAUAAGAUGAGUCGAGAUCCAGUUUGUAGAAGACACUUGGGCUUGCAGAACAGCGUCUACCUUCCCUCCCCACUACCAUCAUAUGCUGAUCUGGCCUAAAGAGUUCAGGCAAGGAGUACCUGGGUGGCUCAGUCGGUUGAGUGUCUGACCGUUGGUUUUGGCUCAUCUUGGUUAUGGCCACCUUGAGAUCCAGCCUGGUGUCUAUGCGGACAGGGCAGAACCUGCUUGGGAUUCUGUCUCUCCUUCUCUUUCUGCCUCUCCCUCACUCAUUCUCUCUGUCUUUCACUACUUCUCUCUUUCUCAAAAUAAAUAAAUAAACUUAAAAAGAAAAGAGUCGAGGCAAAGAAACCCCACUCCCUUCACACUCAGAACACACCCCUUUUCCUGGGACAGUGGAUAAAGGGAAGGAGCAUCAAUCCUGUCUUUGGUACUGGAAGUCUGUUGUGUCCGCAGAAAAGCCUAUUCAUGUACCAAAAAGAAAAUUUAAUUGGUCCACUUCCAGAACCUGGAAAAAAGUCAUGAAACAACCCUCCGAAAAGCCAUGUGUCUUUGAUCCAAUUAGCACAUCCACUAACUAACUAAGCAAACUGCAUCAAUUCAUCAGGACAUUCUAGAUUGUUGUUUCCAAGAUGAGCGAUCCUCCAGUUAAGCUCUCUUAAGUUCCUUCCAGGUCUAUUUAAGAAUCUGUAAUCGUAUCCCAGCAUCCUGCUUUUAAGCCAGGACAUUGGCUCAUGGAUAAGGACAAAAAUAAUUCUUGUAGAGAACAUGCCACGUGCAGCCCUCAUCUCGGGAAAGACAAGGGAUCUUAUUUGAGGCUAAGUGCCAUUUGCUAAUGUCUCAAUAAAUAUUCACUGCCAAAAAUUUUGGUGGGAGGGAUUUAAAAUAAACCUUGGGAGUGGCUCCCUGAUUGUGCAUACUUCCAGGUGAGAAUCUGGGCUCCUUGAGAUGUGUCCACUGUCUUUUCAGAUAUGGCUUGAGCCUAAGUCUGUACCUAACCAAAUAAAGGAAUUGAUGGCCUCCGGAAA